rnacentral:misc_RNA from 1 species
GAUGAAGAACGUAGUGAAAUGCGAUAAGUAAUGUGAAUUGCAGAAUUCAGUGAAUCAUCGAAUCUUUGAACGCACCUUGCGCCCUUUGGCUAUUCCGAAGGGCAUGCCUGUUUGAGUAUCGUGAACACCUCAACUCUCAUGGUUUGCCAUGAUGAGCUUGGACUUUGGGGGUUUUGCUGGCCUUUGGUCGGCUCCUCUCAAACGGAUCAGCUUUCCAGUGUUUGGUGGCGUCACGGGUGUGAUAACUAUCUACGCCUGUGGUUUUCUGCCAGAUAACCUACAGCGAUGGAGGUUCGCUGGGGCUCAUAAAUGUCUCUCUUCAGUGGAGACAGCUUUUUGGACGUUUGAUCUCAAAUCAGGUAGGACUACCCGCUGAACUUAAGCAUAUCAAUAAGCGGAGGA